rnacentral:rRNA from 1 species
UCGAUUAACCUGACACAAGGCCGGGAUGUGUUCCGCUGAAACCUUACUACAUCUGGGUCUUUCACUGUGAACUCUAUGUACUGUGCGUUCACACAUUCUGAGGUACCAGUGAGUAAUAACAAGAAAAUUUGGAAGCCCAAGAUUCCACUAAAAGUGAAUAUUUUCAUGUGGUAUCUUCGUAGGGGAGUUGUGUUAAGCAAAGACAACCUCGCACGACGCAACUGGUAAGGGAGUAAGAGGUGUUGUUUUUGUACUCAUGACGAGACAAUCAAACACCUCUUUUUUCAAUGCAAGUUUUUACGUUCUGCGUGGCCAGUCAUCCAAAUAGCGUCAAAUUUGCAUCCGCCCACAAGUGUUGCCAAUAUAUUUGGUCAUUAG